GACGAAGCCGUUGAAGUUUGACACUUCAACUUUAUUUGUCCACUAUACGGUUGAUUUUGUUUGCUGCGAUCUAUAUAUACCCACUAAUGGUCGAGACGUGAUAGAAGAACUACAAAACAAUGACAAUGAAGAAAACGAUACAAACGUUUCUUCUUUUAAGUUUGGUUCAUAUACUUCUAUGUGCAUCUUUUCAGGUUGGUGUGACAGAGGCUAGAUUCCGGCACCUAGGUGUUGGUGCUGGAAGACAAAUGAUAGCUGUAGGAGCUCCCCCAUCUCCUGAAGAUGGACAUGGCCGGUUCUGAUCACAGCUAGAAGAAACAUUUGUUUUGGUCUCUAAAUUUUAGAAAGCUAUUAUACAUGGAUUUCAUAGUCCCAAAAUUGUCGAAUUUUUAUAUCAAUUCUACUAAAACUGGAUCAUGACCAGUUAAUAAAGGUCUGGUCCAAUAAUUUAUUUCAGUUA